GACAGAGGGGGCAAGCGUUGCUCGGAAUUACUGGGCGUAAAGGGCGCGUAGGCGGGAUGGCAAGUCGGUCGUGAAAUCCCUCGGCUCAACCGAGGAACGUCGAUCGAUACUGCUGUUCUUGAGGAUUGCAGAGGAGACUGGAAUUCCCGGUGUAGCGGUGAAAUGUGUAGAGAUCGGGGGGAACACCGGUGGCGAAGGCGGGUCUCUGGGCAAUUCCUGACGCUGAGGCGCGAAAGCGUGGGUAGCAAACAGG
rnacentral:rRNA from 1 species